GAGCUCGUAAGACGGGUUUUGAGGGGAUCAAUUUCGGGUUCGGAUUAAAGUCUGUUUGGGAUACCCGUUUAAGUGAGGAAAAGUUUUAAUUAUAAAUUUCCUUUUCUUAUUUCUUUUUCCCGAACCCGACUUAAUCCUUUAGCCGAUACUUCUUCCUCUCUUCUUCCCCGACUCCCUUCCUCUUCUCUCUGUAUCUCGCGGACGCUGCGACGUCGAGGCUGGAUCGGGCAGCGACGCCACCAGGGAAAUUGAUCGCCGGCGGCUGAGCACUUCCUUCCACCACCGUCCACCAGAUCGGGGAGGGGAUUUGUUGGUUUGACGCCGCUGGAUCGAGCCAUGCCAUCGCCGAUCGUCGGCGUGAAGGGGGGGGGGGCAAUUAGGGUUCCACGGGUCCGUCCCGUCGCCAGUGCUCUGCAUUCGGAUCACUGCUUCAUGUGAGUAGAUCUAGCCCUAGCCUAGACCUUUCCUCUUCAUCGCCGGCUUGGAUCUAUUAUCUUGGGUUCUAGCUUCGAUUUCACACACGGUUGUGUUGUGGGGUUGGUGGACAGCAGCUCGAACCGGGCAGAGGUGAGGUUCUGUUCUUCUCUUGCUGUGGUGUUUUUGGUUUCGGCAGGCACCUCAUCCAGUAGGUGUGCUGGUUCUAGCAUCAACAGCAUUUGAGAUCAAGGAUUCUGAUUCGAGACAGGCGUCUCGACGUUGAUUUCGGAUUUGGGAUUGUACCUUCUAUUUGAGGCGGGUACCCUUUGACUUAUCUUGUUGAUAUUUUCUUGUGAUAUGUGCAGUUUAUAUAUGUUUACUAGUAAUUGGUAGAUCUUUCUCUUCUCUGGUUAUAGUAUUCUAUACCUGUAGGCGAUUAUUAGCGAUUGGUAGUUAGCAUAUUCCCUGGUUUAGUUAUUUGAUACUUGAUACAUGUUGCUACGAUUAGCAUCUAUACCUUAGUCUAGCAUGUUUUUCUUUCUUGCUAUACUUAUCUGUGUUCAUAGAGAUGCAUAUCUAUAGUGCUCUACUCUACUGGAUUAGUUGCUUUACAUGUGUGAUACAUGCUCUUGGAUUCAUGAUACUUACAUCAUUGUUAUAUGUGAUGUCUUUGG